UGCCAGCCGCCGCGGUAAUACGGGGGGUGCAAGCGUUACUCGGAAUCACUGGGCGUAAAGAGCAUGUAGGCUGGUUUGUAAGUUGGAAGUGAAAUCCUAUGGCUUAACCAUAGAACUGCUUCCAAAACUGCAGACCUAGAGUAUGGGAGAGGUAGAUGGAAUUUCUGGCGUAGGGGUAAAAUCCGUAGAGAUCAGAAGGAAUACCGAUUGCGAAGGCGGCUUUCUGGUCUAAUACUGACGCUGAGGCGCGAAAGCUAGGGGAGCGAACGGGAUUAGAUA
rnacentral:rRNA from 1 species